UCCACAGAAAACAGACAGAUGAUUGGGAUAGCAAUAAAUAUAAACCUGUUGUGAUUCUUGGUGGAUCGGACUGCGCAAUAUGUUUAAAGCAGAAGGACAGUAGAAGUGAGCCGGUAGUAACUUUAUUUUGUAAUCACGAAUUCCAUAAAAAUUGUGCUCGUGGAUGGCUUUUAAAUAGUGAAAAGGAAAGAUGCUGUCUUUGUCGUUCCUCCAUAAGUUCAUUUACGAAAUCCGAACUAACAGACGCCAAGAAAGAAGAAAAGAGUUUCAUUCAGUCGAAUUCAAACACAUGUCGACCAGCAAUACAGAUCAGUUAAAUACUGACAAAUUAUAGUUGUCAAGUUGGGUUAAAAAGAGUUUGACUAGGAAUCAUUGAUGGCUGCGCACUUGACAAAAAACUUGAUGUUGAAAAGGCCUACAUGAGUGCCAUUUGUUGCCGUUGAUAUCAGAGUAUAAACAAGUUUUGAAGAUUGUUAAUGGUAGUGACUGGAUUCGGUAGUGAAAGGAAAUGAAAACAUAAGAUUGUGAGAUGGUUAUAUCUUGAAGCGUUUAUAUAGUUUUUCUAUAUAGUGUCGAUUUCUGACAGAAAAACUUAAAUGUACACCAUGGAAUUGUUAACUGUGCAUAACAGUAUCGAUAAAUACUAAUGUUAUAGAUAGAACAAGGAAAUAGUUGUCAUGGAGGGAAAUUUCUUUCAUUUAUUUUAGUAACUUUGUUAUUUGUUUCAUUUAUACUUUCUGUUAUGAAAUACCAUUUUACAUA